ACGCAUUUAUUAGGAGGAAUCCUAGAGCACAGAGGUCUCAUGGGACACGUCAUUAAAGGAGGAAUAGAUCUAUAUAGAUCUAUAGACUGGGACAUUACUGUUGAUGACUGAUAUAGGUCUAUAGGCUGGGACAUUACUGUUGAUGACUGAUAUAGGUCUAUAGGCUGGGACAUUACUGAUGACUGAUAUAGGUCUAUAGGCUGGGACAUUACUGAUGAUGACUGAUAUAGGUCUAUAGGCUGGGACAUUACUGAUGACUGAUAUAGGUCUAUAGGCUGGGACAUUACUGAUGAUGACUGAUAUAGGUCUAUAGGCUGGGACAUUACUGUUGAUGACUGAUAUAGGUCUAUAGGCUGGGACAUUACUGAUGAUU